ACAAACUUGGUCAUUUAGAGGAAGUACAAGUCGUAACAAGGUUUCCGUAGGUGAACCUGCGGAAGGAUCAUUAGCAAAUCGUUGUGGGUGCUAGAUGGUGUGUGUGUGGUGUGGUGACUGUGAUAUUAUUAUUGUGGUCAGCAGUCUCUCACGCUCAUCAUCAUGUGCCCCUAACAUGAGUGCUCCAGGCAUUAUGUGUCUGGGUGCGCAAAUACAUAUAUAUUCAUUAUUGUCAGUUGUCAUUUUUAUUAUUACAAAUUAUCAUCAUACUUUUAACAAUGGAUCUCUUGGCUCUUGCAUCGAUGAAGAACGCAGC
rnacentral:misc_RNA from 1 species